UAAUUCAUUUCAAUCAUUAAGCAUCGGGAGGUAUCCUAAUCUCAGAGCCCUACCAAAUUGCCUUUACAACCUCACAGAUCUAUAUAUUGCAAAUAAUAAAAAUUUGAAAUUAUUGCCUCUGAUAAAAAACCUCACUUGUCUUACAUUGUUUUCUAUCUCUCACUGUGAGAAUAUCAAGACCCCUUUAUCCCAAUGGGGCCUUUCUAGACUCACCUCUCUUGAAAACCUCUCAAUUGAAGGCAUGUUUCCAUAUGCAACUUCCUUUUCAGAUGACCCCCACUUGAUUAUUCUUCCUACAACUCUUACCUCCCUUCACAUUUCUCAAAUCCAUAAUCUGGAAUCCUUAGCCUCCCUAUCUCUCCAAACCCUUACAUCGCUUAGAAGCCUGGUGAUCUUCAACUGCCCUAAGCUCCAGUGGAUUUUGCCAAGGGAAGGACUGGUGCCUGAUUCCCUGUUAGAACUACGGAUUUGGAGGUGUCCACAUCUAAAACAAAGGUACUUAGAGGAGGAAGGACAUGAUUGGCCCAAGAUUGCCGAUAUCCCCCGUGUGGAGAUACAUGACUAAUCCAUCUCUGAGCAAUAAAACAAUAUGCUCAAAUAGGUUGCACAUCAUGUUGGAGCAGCAAUGUCAAAGAAGAUGUACAUUAUACGAAUAUUUGAAGAGAAGCAUCUGAAUUUGGAAACUACUAGUGUGCCUCUACAACCUCAAAAUUCUUCACAUAAGAAAAUGUGGAUCUCAAGUCCCUACCUCAUCAGAUUCAAAGUCUCACAUCUCUUCAAUAGCUUUGUGUUGCACAUUGUUUAGGUUCUGGAGUUCUUUGAGAAAGCAAUUUCAUGAAUAUACUUGCAAGAGUAUUAAGACCCCUUAUCUUUGUGGAGCCUCCAAAGAUUCACCUCUCCAAAAACUCAGUUCAUUCAUUUUAUAUUGCGCAUUGUUAAAUGCAAUUUCCUUUUGACAGUAUUUCUUGCUACAACUCUCAUUGAUAUUUCAAUGAAAAUAUUGUCAAAUCUAGAAUCCCAAGUCCCUUUCCUUGGUCUUCAGAACUUCAUCUCUUUAACUUGUAGAGAUUGAGGGGUGCCCUGUUCUAGCCCUCUUUACCAAGUGAAAGGUUGUCUUUUGAGUUUUAUCGAAUCUCUAAAUCAAAGAUGUUUCAAGGAGAUUGCCCACUUCCCUUAAAGUGAGGAUAGAUCAUAAACUCAUUUUUGAAUCGUAAUAACAUCAAAUUGCAAAAACAGGUGCAAAGCCAAUUCAACCCUAUCCUAUCCUUACAUUCAUUAAGUGGCUUAACUAUUUGUGAAAGUCUCCAUGGAGUUGUGUUGCAAGUUUGACUAGGAAACGGGUUUUAAGUACAACAAUUACAAACUUAUGGGUUUUCACAUUGUCAAAAGGAAGGAUUCAAUUUGUUGUAUGUUUAAUGCUCUUAUUGUGUUGACAAAAUGAGAUUUGGAUUUCACAUUGGAGACCACAAGUUUGGAUUGAAUGCAAUUUAUACAACACACCAUGUUCUUAUGUCUCUUGGAAAGUUAAGAACCUUGUUUGAAAUUUGGUAUGCCUUCCAUGCUGAGAAGUCUCGUACUCCAUGAUUGUGGUGGCUCGAAUAGCAACUUGCAUCUGUCAUGAUACAUGGAGAACUCAAGACAACAUCUGUUUUUUAAUGUCUUUCAAAUUAGUGGAUUUCAUAUUAAUUUCUCAAUCAAUGUACAAUGUGUUUUUCAUGGAACAUUGCUAAAUAAUUUUAUAAUUUCCUUUUUUUUUUUUUUUGUCUAUGAAUCAUUAAUAAAUUUUGAUUGCAAACAAUUGUCAAGAUUCAUUAGCAUCAACUUUAUCCAACAUACAAGUUUUUAGGUGAAGGAGACUUUUUGGCAUGUCUUGCUGUUUUGAGUUGUGCAAGUUAGAGGCUCAAAGAGCACAAACUCUUAUGACUGGAAGAAAGACAAUUGAGCUCUCAUUCUAUGAUAAGUUGUGAGCAUUGUAUGGUAUUCUUUGAAUUGCACAUAGCCUUAUUUAGCUUUCGAAUACUUAAUGCAAUUGUGCAUGAACAUAAACUAAACUCAUACUUGACACAAUUGUGAGUUAUAUGGUAUUCGUUCUUAUUUUCUUUUUAUUUUAUGCAUGGGUCAAAAAAUGCACUCUUGGUUACUUUGAACUUUAACUUUAAUACCCAAGGAACAUUUGGUUAUUGCAAUACCUAAUGCUUUUUGGAAGUUGGUUAUGGUAUUCAUGGGUGAAAAAAUCUUUGUUUU